AUGCUCACUUCGGCAGCACAUAUACUAAAAUUGGAAUGAUACAGAGAAGAUUAGCAUGUCCCCUGCACAAGGAUGACACACAAAUUCGUGAAGCAUUCCAUAUUUUU
rnacentral:snRNA from 1 species